GGGGGUAUAGCUCAGUGGUAGAUCAUUUGACUGCAGAUCAAAAGGUCCCUGAUUCAAAUCCGGGUGCUCCCU
rfam:Astyanax mexicanus chromosome 2, whole genome shotgun sequence.